AGUGAACGCUGGCGGUAGGCCUAACACAUGCAAGUCGAACGGCAGCACAGUAAGAGCUUGCUCUUACGGGUGGCGAGUGGCGGACGGGUGAGGAAUACAUCGGAAUCUACUUUUUCGUGGGGGAUAACGUAGGGAAACUUACGCUAAUACCGCAUACGACCUACGGGUGAAAGCAGGGGAUCUUCGGACCUUGCGCGAUUGAAUGAGCCGAUGUCGGAUUGGCUAGUUGGCGGGGUAAAGGCCCACCAAGGCGACGAUCCGUAGCUGGUCUGAGAGGAUGAUCAGCCACACUGGAACUGAGACACGGUCCAGACUCCUACGGGAGGCAGCAGUGGGGAAUAUUGGACAAUGGGCGCAAGCCUGAUCCAGCCAUACCGCGUGGGUGAAGAAGGCCUUCGGGUUGUAAAGCCCUUUUGUUGGGGAAGAAAAGCAGCAGGUUAAUACCCCGCUGUUCUGACGGUACCCAAAGAAUAAGCACCGGCUAACUUCGUG
rnacentral:rRNA from 1 species